rnacentral:lncRNA from 10 species
AGUCUUCUUGUCAGUCUUUUCCUGGCGUGCCACCCCAGCUGGACAGCUUGGGUUAGUGGAGUCACAAGGGAGCCCGAUCUGAGUAUUAUUUUGUACAAAUUGGAGACACCUGUUAGAUCCUUGAUCUGUUUUAUCUUUUAGAUCAGGUAUCUUUAGUAACUAAUUGCGUAAGGUUUGUUUUGUUUUGUUAUUUACCAUAAU